CAGUAGCCACGGUAAGACAGAGGAUGCAAGCGUUAUCCGGAAUGAUUGGGCGUAAAGCGUGCGUAGGCGGCUUCUUAAGUCGGAUGUGAAAUCCCUGAGCUUAACUUAGGAAUUGCAUUCGAUACUGGGAAGCUAGAGUAUGGGAGAGGAUGGUAGAAUUCCAGGUGUAGCGGUGAAAUGCGUAGAGAUCUGGAGGAAUACCGAUGGCGAAGGCAGCCAUCUGGCCUAAUACUGACGCUGAGGUACGAAAGCAUGGGGAGCAAACAGGAUUAGAUACCCCCGUAGUCCCUGUCUCUUAUAC
rnacentral:rRNA from 1 species